AGAGCGAACGCUGGCGGCAGGCCUAACACAUGCAAGUCGAACGGACUCUUCGGAGUUAGUGGCGGACGGGUGAGUAACACGUGGGAACGUGCCUUUUGGUUCGGAAUAGCUCCUGGAAACGGGUGGUAAUGCCGAAUGUGCCCUUCGGGGGAAAGAUUUAUCGCCAUUAGAGCGGCCCGCGUCUGAUUAGCUAGUUGGUGAGGUAAAGGCUCACCAAGGCUACGAUCAGUAGCUGGUCUGAGAGGAUGACCAGCCACAUUGGGACUGAGACACGGCCCAAACUCCUACGGGAGGCAGCAGUGGGGAAUCUUGCGCAAUGGGCGAAAGCCUGACGCAGCCAUGCCGCGUGAAUGAUGAAGGUCUUAGGAUUGUAAAAUUCUUUCAGUAGGGACGAUAAUGACGGUACCUACAGAAGAAGCCCGCUAACUUCGUGCCAGCAGCCGC
rnacentral:rRNA from 1 species